UGUCCCCCUACCUCAAGAGCCUGUCCAUGGUGACUGCCAACAAGUUGCUGCACCUGCUGGAGGCCUUCUCCACCACCUGGUUCCUCUUCUCUGCCGCCCAGAACCACCACCUGGUCUUCUUCCUCCUGGAGGUCUUCAACAACAUCAUCCAGUACCAGUUUGAUGGAAGCCCACCCAGAUUGGACGGGGGGAGCUGGAGGGGGCCUCCCUGAGGCGAGGCAUGCUCCCUGCCCACAGGCAACUCCAACCUGGUCUACGCCAUCAUCCGCAAGCGCAG
rnacentral:lncRNA from 1 species